UACGUAGGGUGCAAGCGUUAAUCGGAAUUACUGGGCGUAAAGCGUGCGCAGGCGGCUUUGCAAGACAGAUGUGAAAUCCCCGGGCUCAACCUGGGAACUGCAUUUGUGACUGCAUGGCUGGAGUGCGGCAGAGGGGGAUGGAAUUCCGCGUGUAGCAGUGAAAUGCGUAGAUAUGCGGAGGAACACCGAUGGCGAAGGCAACCCCCUGGGCCGGCACUGACGCUCAGGCACGAAAGCGUGGGGAGCAAACAGG
rnacentral:rRNA from 1 species